GCUGGCGGCGUGCCUAACACAUGCAAGUCGAACGAAGUAUGUUCUUCGGAAUAUACUUAGUGGCGGACGGGUGAGUAACGCGUGAACAAUCUGCCCUAUACAGAGGAAUAGCCUCGGGAAACCGGGAUUAAAACCGCAUGAAACUAUAGUAUCGCAUGAUACAUUAGUCAAAUUGAUUAAGAGGUAUGGGAUGAGUUCGCGUCUGAUUAGCUAGUUGGUGGGGUAAAGGCCUACCAAGGCGACGAUCAGUAGCCGGCCUGAGAGGGUGAACGGCCACACUGGAACUGAGAUACGGUCCAGACUCCUACGGGAGGCAGCAGUGGGGAAUAUUGCACAAUGGAGGAAACUCUGAUGCAGCGACGCCGCGUGAGUGAAG
rnacentral:rRNA from 1 species